UUCAGCCGUAGCCCUUUCUUUCCCAAAGCCUUCCACCAUUGUUACUCACUUUAAGCUUAAAUUUCCUUAAAAUCUCACCAUAUUUCCCAUAAUUAGCUUCAUAAAAACUGAAUAUCUACCCUAGCUAGAGUGCUUGGAAGUAAAAAGGAAGCAAGAAUCUUGAAGUUGGCAAGAAAGAGACUUGGCUAAAUUAAGGUACUGGAGAUCCCGAUCGUGAGCCCAGUAGACCACAGACUGGGUGAGUCCAUCUGACAGUUCUGCUCAGUGUCCGUGUCACCUCACUACCUGCAGUGCAUCGGUAGGGCACUAGGUGUCAUUUUGUCAUUUUGAUAUUUUGUAGCAGAUUUGUAUUUUCUCAUAUGUAUUUGAACUCAUGUAAUAUAUUUUGAUGGUUAUGUAAAUAAUGAAAGUUAUGACUAUGAAUGCAAGAUUUAAGCAUGUAUUUAUUGCUUGUAUAUGAGAAAUGGAUGUUGAGAAAUGAAAAGGUUGUUGAAACCUGAAACUGAAAAAUUGUUGAAACCUUGA